UGGACGGACCACUACGGGUGCCACUGGACGGACCACUACGGUGGCCACUGGACGGACCACUACGGGGGCCACUGGACGGACCACUACGGGGGCCACUGGACGGACCACUACGGGGGCCACUGGACGGACCACUACGGGGGCCACUGGACGGACCACUACGGGGGCCACUGGACGGGCCACGUGUGCUCCCACUGCUUCAACAUGUGGCACUCCACCGCAGGCACAGAAGCCAUGCAAAACUACCGCCAGGCUCAGGAAACCGCCCAUGGAAACCCCGACAACCUCUGCGAGAGCCUUUUGAAAUAGAUGGAGCAAGCCUCCUGAGCACCUCACCACAGAGCUGUCCAAGAUGCCUCACGUCCAAGAAGUCCCAGGUUUACAAGUGGAAGGGCCUGCUCAAGGAACUCCGCUGCUCUCUCCUGGACGGAAGGAACCAGGAGAUGGAGAGGAGAUGAAGAAGAAGAAGAAGAAGAAGAAGAAGAAGAAGAGGAAGACUUAGGAACAAAGAACCCCAACAGAGAAGAAGCAAAAGAUGAAGAAGAUGAAAGAGAAGAAGAAGAAGGAGGAAGUGAAGAAGAGAAGGAAGGAAGAAGGGAAGUCUGUCUGUCAAUAAUAAUAAUAAUAAAAUAUAUGUUGAAAUAAA